rfam:Arabis alpina cultivar Pajares chromosome 6, whole genome shotgun sequence.
AUUUUAUGAUGAGGGAAUGCUCUAGAAUGCGUUCCCAAGCUUCACACAAGCUUUCACAAUCUCUUUGCUCAAACCUUACAAUCUCAUUUCUAAACC